AGGUUAAGUGAAUAAGGGCGCACGGUGGAUGCCUUGGCACUAGGAGCCGAUGAAGGACGGGACUAACACCGAUAUGCUUUGGGGAGCUGUAAGUAAGCUAUGAUCCAGAGAUUUCCGAAUGGGGGAACCCAGCAUCUUUUAUAGGAUGUUACGUCUGCGCGAAUACAUAGCGCAGUCGAGGUAGACGCAGAGAACUGAAACAUCUAAGUACCUGCAGGAAGAGAAAGAAAAUUCGAUUCCCUGAGUAGCGGCGAGCGAAACGGGAAAAGCCCAAACCAACAAGCUUGCUUGUUGGGGUUGUAGGACUCCGAUAUGGUAGUCUAUUCAGAUAGUCGAAAUACUUGGAAAAGUAUGUCAAAGAGGGUAAAAACCCCGUAGGCGAAAUUUGGAUAACACCUAGGAGGAUCCUGAGUACGGCGGAACACGAG
rnacentral:rRNA from 1 species